rnacentral:rRNA from 1 species
UUCAGGCCUAACACAUGCAAGUCGAGCGCACCUUCGGGUGAGCGGCGGACGGGUGAGUAACGCGUGGGAACGUGCCCUUCAGUACGGAAUAGCCCAGGGAAACUUGGAUUAAUACCGUAUACGCCCUUCGGGGGAAAGAUUUAUCGCUGAGGGAUCGGCCCGCGUUGGAUUAGGUAGUUGGUGGGGUAAAAGCCUACCAAGCCGACGAUCCAUAGCUGGUUUGAGAGGACGAUCAGCCACACUGGGACUGAGACACGGCCCAGACUCCUACGGGAGGCAGCAGUGGGGAAUCUUAGACAAUGGGGGAAACCCUGAUCUAGCCAUGCCGCGUGAGUGACGAAGGCCCUAGGGUCGUAAAGCUCUUUCGCCGGGGAAGAUAAUGACGGUACCCGGUAAAGAAGUCCCGGCUAACUCCGUGCCAGCAGCCGCGGUAAUACGGAGGGGACUAGCGUUGUUCGGAAUUACUGGGCGUAAAGCGCGCGUAGGCGGACUUUUAAGUCAGGGGUGAAAUCCCGGGGCUCAACCCCGGAACUGCCCUUGAUACUGGAAGUCUUGAGUUCUGGAGAGGUGAGUGGAAUUCCGAGUGUAGAGGUGAAAUUCGUAGAUAUUCGGAGGAACACCAGUGGCGAAGGCGGCUCACUGGCCAGAUACUGACGCUGAGGUGCGAAAGCGUGGGGAG